GGGCUGUCGCUGACUUUUUGACACAAAAGUCGUGCACGCCGGAGCACGUCCUCUCACAUAAAAUCCAUCUCACCCUUUUGUGCACCACCGCGUGGGCACCCUUUGGGAUCGAAUCGAUCCAGGAGGGGGCUUGCGUUUUCACACAAACCCCUUUURAAAAGUGUAGAAUGACCCCACUUUGCGAUGACACGCAAUCAAUACAACUUUCAACAACGGAUCUCUUGGCUCUCGCAUCGAUGAAGAACGCAGCGAAAUGCGAUACGUAAUGUGAAUUGCAGAAUUCAGUGAAUCAUCGAAUCUUUGAACGCACCUUGCGCCCCUUGGUAUUCCGAGGGGCACACCCGUUUGAGUGUCGUGAAAYUCUCAACCUUCCCGGUUUUCUUUUGGACACCGAAGGAGGCUUGGACUCUGGAGGCCUUUGCUGGCGUCUCUCUCUUCUUGAGAGCCAGCUCCUCUUAAACGAAUUAGCGGGGUCCUCUUUGCCGAUCCUCGACAUGUGAUAAGAUGUUUCCAUGACUUGGUUUCUGGCUCUGUUGCCCUUGGGACCCGCUUCUAACCGUCUCGACGAGACAACGUUUGGGCGUGUCUCCCUUCUCGGGAAGCACUCUCAACCCCACGAACCCUUGACCUCAAAUCGGGUGAGACUACCCGCUGAACUUAAGCAUAUCA
rnacentral:rRNA from 1 species